GACGAACGCUGGCGGCGUGCUUAACACAUGCAAGUCGAACGGAAAGGCCUGCUUUCCCUUGUGGAUUGCGGGUACUCGAGUGGCGAACGGGUGAGUAACACGUGAGUGAUCUGCCCCCAACUUGGGUAUAAGCCUGGGAAACUGGGUCUAAUUCCCGAUAGGACUGCAGGGUGGUGCCUGUGGUGGAAAACGAUUUUCUAGUGGUUGGGGAUGAGCUCGCGGCCUAUCAGCUUGUUGGUGGGGUAAUGGCCUACCAAGGCGGCGACGGGUAGCCGGCCUGGGAGGGUGGACGGCCACAGUGGGACUGAGAUACGGCCCAGACUCCUACGGGAGGCAGCAGUGGGGAAUAUUGCACAAUGGGCGGAAGCCUGAUGCAGCGACGCCGCGUGGGGGAUGACGGCCUUCGGGUGGUAAACUCCUUUCGACCGCGAGGAAGCCACCUGGUUGGAAGGGUGGUGACGGUAGUGGUAGAAGAAGCACCGGCUAACUACGUG
rnacentral:rRNA from 1 species